rnacentral:rRNA from 1 species
CCUACGGGUGGCAGCAGUGGGGAAUAUUGCGCAAUGGGCGAAAGCCUGACGCAGCGACGCCGCGUGAGGGAUGACGGCCUUCGGAUCGUAAACCUCUGUCAGCAGGGAAGAACGGUCACUGUGCUAAUCAGCAGUGAAUUGACGGUACCUGCAAAGGAAGCACCGGCUAACUCCGUGCCAGCAGCCGCGGGAAUACGGAGGGUGCAAGCGUUAAUCGGAAUUACUGGGCGUAAAGCGGGCGUAGGCGGUAGGUCAAGUCCAGGGUGAAAUCCCCGGGCUCAACGUGGGAACUGCCUUUGAAACUGGCAGACUGGAGUGUGUGAGAGGAGAGUGGAAUUCGUGGUGUAGGGGUGAAAUCCGUAGAUAUCUGGAAGAACAUCAGUGGCGAAGGCGACUAUCUGGCACAUAACUGACGCUGAGGAGCGAAAGCGUGGGUAGCAAACAGGAUUAGAUACCCCUGUAGUC